rnacentral:misc_RNA from 1 species
UUUCCGUAGGUGAACCUGCGGAAGGAUCAUUACCGAAUUGUCAAACGGGUUGUUGCUGGUCUUCAAACGCGGACAUGUGCACGCUCUGUUUACACAUCCACUCACACCUGUGCACCCUCCGUAGUUCUAUGGUCUGGGGGACCCUGUCUUCCUGCCGUGGUUCUACGUCUUUACACACACUCUGUAAUAAAGUCUUAUGGAAUGUAUGCCGCGUCUAACGCAAUACAAUACAACUUUCAGCAACGGAUCUCUUGGCUCUC